AUAGCCGAGAAGAUGCAUAUCUGUGACACUGAGAAUACAGUAAACCUGCUAAGUGACACAAGUGGUCUUCACGAGUCGUACGUAAAUUUGUUCAAAAAGAAGUGAGCACGAACUGUAGAUAUGGACACUUGGUCCGGACCGUGAAUGAGUAUGACAUACAGAACCAAAGAAGGAAAGAUGUUUGUUUAUCAACAGAAGUCAGAUUGUGAUGAGUGUGCAAUAAAUUAGUAAAUUUUCUGUUUAUAGUUAAAGAAUAGCCUGAUGAAGAGGUGAAUAAACCUCGAAAUAUUGCGAAAAUCCUCGUUUUCUUUCGUCAACUCAACGCCGCUACAUCCAAGAAAAUCUCAACAUUUACAACGAACGGCGAAGAAACAAAACACACAAAAGAUAAUAAUAGUAGCACACGCAAACGAAGAGAGCGAGACAAAACGAUUCAUUCUGCAUUCUGUUCAAUGAAUACAAGCUAUUCCCGAUUGGAACCGUAGCAGACUCAACCAAUUUUCUUCGUCACCCUACAUUGUGAAUGCAUACCAAUUUGGGUAAAAAUGUUUUUUUUUUUCAAAAUCAUUGUCACUCCAUAUUGGAAACAAUUGCAAUCUUUCAAGUGUGUCUAAUUCUAUUAUCCCAACAAAAGUCUCUUUGAGAAAAGUGUGACGCAGUCUUUGUGUUAUAACUUCUAAAAUUAAUGGUAUCGCUCGAUGUGUCUGACUGACAUUUAAAUCAUAAAAGUGACAACAUUUUUCCAGCUGCCCGUCAUGUAAAACCUAAUUUAUUCCCUCAAUUUUGUAAGCAUCUGUUGCAAUGAUGGCGAGAACGAUUGUCAUCUGACUUUACAAAAUGGCCAAUUUAUUUUAUAUAUGAGAAAUUGCUCUGGAAAUUAUUUCAGUAAUAAAACAAAAUUAUGAUUUUGCCUGGAAUAAUGUAAAGUUUCAUGGAGAUUCACUACGAUUUCCCUGAGAUCGCCUAUGGAAAGAUAUAUAGAUAGAUAGAAACAUGCAGAUAAAGGAUAUUUAAAAAAUUUUCUACUUUCUUUUUUUGAGGGGAAGACUGCGUCAAGGCCUCCGCUAACGCUCCGGCCUUGAUUAUAAUCUCAAAAUCUCACAAUGAGAUUAAUUAUAAAAACCCCCGGCAGCGCUAUUUAAAGACCGACAUUUCUUGGAAAUUGAUAUAAAUUAAAAAUAUUUCAGGUUUGAACUUCCUCGUUUAAAUUUUAAAAAAUGAUCAAACAAUUUGUGUGUCUCUUAUUGACAAUUUCUGUUGCUUCUGCAAAUAUCCAAACUUUUCAAGAUUGUGGAUCGUCGGCCAUUGUACAUUCAUUGAGAUUAGGCAAUUGCUGGACCCGAUUAUGUGCAAUACAAAGAGGAACCACAAUGACCAUAGAAAUGCAUAUUACGAAAACGUCCCAUGGUGGUUUUUCUUUACCGUUCGAGGUGUAUGCAAUUCCAGAACACCCGCAAUUAAAUCCAAUAAGAUUAAUGUCAGGAGAACUUUGCAAUGCGAUAUUUUAUGGUGGACGUUGCCCACUAAGUAGCGGGGAAUUUUUUGUUGCAGCAUUUCCACUUACUAUAUCACCUUCGUUCCCAGCGUCGGUACGGGCAUUUAGAUUUGUUGUGGAUCAUAUUGUGUGUGUUGAAGUACCUGUGGUCAUUGGAUAGAUGGAACAUCAAAUUUACUUGAAAAAUUUAAAAUUAAUUGAACGAAUUGGUUACAACUUUUGUCUGAAUUUAUUUUGACAGCUGACUUAAAUAAAUGAAUUAAAAUGA